rnacentral:sRNA from 1 species
CUCUUCUGCGACGAAGAAAUGAGUCGUAAUACAAAAGGGCUAUACAAAAAGCUGGCGGAUUUGAAUGAAAUGGCCAACGGCCUUGCACCACCCCAUUUGUGAACAUGAAUGUGAACUGGAUGGGACAGUAGCGUUAGCGUGUAUUCGUCAUGUAAUAAAUUGAGCAAAAUGUUAUGCUCUUUUGGCCACGAAAACUGCUAAAACAUUGCGAUAGAACAACAGUUUGGAGGCGUCCCACAGUCAAUUGGAUUUCGGAUGGUACUCUGGAUGGAUAAAAGCACAAAACCUGUGCGUGGAACCGCUGGCUCUGUUUGCAUGUUGGUCAACAGGUCGGCAAAGCUGUACAAGCUCAGCUGUACAAAUUUUCUUUCCUCGUUUGUGGACCGGGAGACCCUGCACUUUUGUAUCUGGAGGAAUUUCGGGCCUCCCAAAUGCGAAUACGAAUGUGACGCUGCCAGUGACCGGCAAGAAAAUCCGUGCCGUGAACUAUAACCCGAUCACUCAACAAAUUAAUGAGAUCGAAGGCAGAAGUCACAGCAUCAAGCAGGAGCCUCUUGGCCAUCUCCGGACAGCCAUUCGACAUUAUCAUAGCCCAUAGCAUAGACGCCAUUGAAAUAGACAGCGCGGAGGGUGUGGCAUCAGCGGCCCCAGUGAACAAGGACUGUGUAUCAGCCUCCUGUCGCCAUGACGGCCAAAGACUGCCCGGCGGAUCAAAAAAUGAAAUUUAUUAAUUAUGCAGCCAGGCUCCGGUUUUCAAUUUCGCAAAAGUUUUUCGAUUUCCCGUUUUUACUAUCCGCAAGACUUCUUCGUUUUUAAAACAACAAAAAUUUCUUCGAUGAAAUGAAAAGUAAACGGCUUUUAAU